AGUUUGAUGGCGACCGGCGCACGGGUGAGUAACACGUAUCCAACCUGCCGAUGACUCGGGGAUAGCCUUUCGAAAGAAAGAUUAAUACCCGAUGGCAUAGUUCUUCCGCAUGGUAGAACUAUUAAAGAAUUUCGGUCAUCGAUGGGAUGCGUUCCAUUAGGUUGUUGCGGGUAGCGGCCCACCAAGCCUUCGAUGGAUAGGGGUUCUGAGAGGAAGGUCCCCCACAUUGGAACUGAGACACGGUCCAAACUCCUACGGGAGGCAGCAUG
rnacentral:rRNA from 1 species